AACGAACGCUGGCGGCGUGCCUAACACAUGCAAGUCGAACGCGAAAGGGACUUCGGUCCCGAGUAAAGUGGCAGACGGGUGAGUAACACGUGGGAACGUGCCCUUUGGUUCGGAACAACCCAGGGAAACUUGGGCUAAUACCGGAUAAGCCCUUACGGGGAAAGAUUUAUCGCCGAAGGAUCGGCCUGCGUCUGAUUAGCUAGUUGGUGGGGUAAAGGCCUACCAAGGCGACGAUCUGUAGCGGGUCUGAGAGGAUGAUCCGCCACACUGGGACUGAGACACGGCCCAGACUCCUACGGGAGGCAGCAGUGGGGAAUAUUGGACAAUGGGGGGAACCCUGAUCCAGCCAUGCCGCGUGUGUGAAGAAGGCCUUAUGGUUGUAAAGCACUUUAAGCGGGGAGGAGGCUCUUUUGGUUAAUACCCAAGAUGAGUGGACGUUACUCGCAGAAUAAGCACCGGCUAACUCUGUGCCAGCAGCCGCAGUAAAAC
rnacentral:rRNA from 1 species